AGAGUUUGAUCCUGGCUCAGAUUGAACGCUGGCGGCAGGCUUAACACAUGCAAGUCGAACGGUAACAGGAAGCAGCUUGCUGCUUUGCUGACGAGUGGCGGACGGGUGAGUAAUGUCUGGGAAACUGCCUGAUGGAGGGGGAUAACUACUGGAAACGGUAGCUAAUACCGCAUAACGUCGCAAGACCAAAGUGGGGGACCUUCGGGCCUCAUGCCAUCAGAUGUGCCCAGAUGGGAUUAGCUAGUAGGUGGGGUAAUGGCUCACCUAGGCGACGAUCCCUAGCUGGUCUGAGAGGAUGACCAGCCACACUGGAACUGAGACACGGUCCAGACUCCUACGGGAGGCAGCAGUGGGGAAUAUUGCACAAUGGGCGCAAGCCUGAUGCAGCCAUGCCCGCGUGUAUGAAGAAGGCCUUCGGGUUGUAAAGUACUUUCAGCGAGGAGGAAGGCAUUAAGGUUAAUAACCCUUAGUGAUUGACGUUACUCGCAGAAGAAGCACUGGGCUAACUUCCGUGCCAGCAGCCGCGGUAAUACGGAGGGUGCAAGCGUUAAUCGGAAUUACUGGGCGUAAAGCGCACGCAGGCGGUCUGUUAAGUCAGAUGUGAAAUCCCCGGGCUCAACCUGGGAACUGCAUUUGAAACUGGCAGGCUUGAGUCUCGUAGAGGGGGGUAGAAUUUCCAGGU
rnacentral:rRNA from 1 species